GACGAACGCUGGCGGCGUGCUUAACACAUGCAAGUCGAACGAAGUGGCGAACGGGUGAGUAACGGGGAAUCAACCUGCCCUUCAGAGGGGGACAACAGGUGGAAACGACGGCUCAUAACGCAAACUGAAGGAGGGGACUGAGGCGGAUUGGCUGGUUGGAGGGGUAACGGCCACCCAAGGCGAUGAUCAGUAGCCGGUCUGAGGGGGUGGACGGCCACAUUGGGACUGUGACACGGCCCAGACUCCUACGGGAGGCAGCAGUGGGGAAUCUUCCGGAAUGGACGAAAGUCUGACGGAGCAACGCCGCGUGAGUGAUGACGGCCUUCGGGUUGUAAAGCUCUGUUAGUCGGGACGCGGUACCGGAAUAGAAAGCCACGGCUAACUACGUGCCAGCCGCCGCGGUAAUUC
rnacentral:rRNA from 1 species